GGGGGGCGGGGGGGGGGGGCGGGGGGCGGGCGGGGCGAGCGGGAGGGCCCUGGGGGGGGGGGGUGCUCGGGUGGCGAACGGGUGAGUAGCACGUGAGUGACCUGCCCUUGACUUUGGGAUAACGUCAGGAAACGGGGGCUACUACCGGAUCUGCGCUCCUUCUCCAUGGUGGGGGUUGGAAAGUUGCGGGGGUGGGGGCUGGACUCGCGGCUGAUCCGGUUGUUGGUGGGGUAGUGGCUUACCCAGGCUUUGCCGGGUAGCCGGCCUGAGCGGGUGACCGGCGACAUUGGGACUGAGAUACGGGCCAGAGUGCUACGGGAGGCAGCAGUGGGGAAUAUUGCAGAAUGGGCGGAAGCCUGAUGCAGCAACGCCGCGUGCGGGAUGACGGCCUUCGGGUUGUAAACCGCUUUCGCCUGUGACGAAGCGUGAGUGACGGUAAUGGGUAAAGAAGCACCGGCUAACUACGUG
rnacentral:rRNA from 1 species